rnacentral:rRNA from 1 species
AUUGAACGCUGGCGGCAUGCCUUACACAUGCAAGUCGAACGGUAACGGGCCUUCGGGUGCCGACGAGUGGCGAACGGGUGAGUAAUGUAUCGGAACGUACCUUUCAGUGGGGGAUAACGUAGCGAAAGUUACGCUAAUACCGCAUAUUCUGUGAGCAGGAAAGCAGGGGAUCGCAAGACCUUGUGCUGAUUGAGCGGCCGAUGUCAGAUUAGCUAGUUGGUGAGGUAAAGGCUCACCAAGGCGACGAUCUGUAGCGGGUCUGAGAGGAUGAUCCGCCACACUGGGACUGAGACACGGCCCAGACUCCUACGGGAGGCAGCAGUGGGGAAUUUUGGACAAUGGGGGCAACCCUGAUCCAGCCAUGCCGCGUGAGUGAAGAAGGCCUUCGGGUUGUAAAGCUCUUUCGGCCGGGAAGAAAUCGCACAGGCUAAUACCUUGUGUAGAUGACGGUACCGGAAUAAGAAGCACCGGCUAACUACGUGCCAGCCGCCGCCGUAAUAC